CACCGCCCGUCACACCAUGGGGAGUUUGCUGCACCAGAAGCAGGUAGCUUAACCGCAAGGGGGGCGCUUGCCACGGUGUGGCCGAUGACUGGGGUG
rnacentral:rRNA from 1 species